rnacentral:lncRNA from 10 species
GUCAGAGAAGACUCUCAAGGAGGAGACACCAGCUGGGUAGCCUCAAGCAAGAGCAUCUCAGGCAGACACAUGACAGCAAGUUUGGAGGCAGCCUGGUGAGCAGCCAAGAGCAGCAGUGGUUACGCCUAGGGAAGAGCAUGAGUUAGAACAUCAGCAUUACUUCUUUCCAGCCAUGGGAGCUUGGGCUGAAUUAACAGUCAAAAUGAAGCAGGAUAAUUGGAGACGGAGCCAUGCAGCCGAUCAUGCCAUCCUUGGAAUUAUUGGGCACACCAUCAUCUCUUGCUUGGAUUCAGGAUCUUGGCAUUGCAUUCUUACAGAAAAGCCUCUUUGCAGUCAACAUCCACAGAAAAGAAAUAGAAGCAAUUGAUCUGCAAGGACCUGCCUUUGAAAUAUUGACACAUUGAGGAUUUGUUCAUGUGUGGAUGUGAUGGAACUGAAGUCGCUAGGUUCAUGCUACCUGGAACAUGAGACUGACAAAUAGAGGAGCACUGAGUCAAAUGAAUCUCGGAGAAAUGGAGCUGGAAGAAAACUGGAGUAAGCCUGUCCCUGAAAGGGCACUACAUUUGGAUAUCCAGCAGUGGGACUCAAUAUUUUUUCUUGUUGUUUAAUCUCAUUUCUGUUACUUGCAGCCAAAGGCUCUUAAUGAGAAAAUGGCUCUACCUAGUUUUCUGAAAUUGCCUCAGUCUCUCCACUCUUCCCUAUUACAAAGGUCAUCUCUUUAAUUCACAUCCAAUAACUGAUAGUCUCUUGACUAAUCUACAUCCUCUCAUUCUCUCCUAAUUCACCUUUCAUACUGUUGCCAGGUGACUUUUCCUAAAAGACAACUUUCAUGAUGUCACUCUACUUCAUAAAUUCUUAUAAUGGUUUCUUUUUGCUUUUAGUCCAAACUCCUCAGGUUCGUUUUCAAGGCUUUUCAUAAUUGAAUUUCUUUUAUAUACCUAAGAUGAUUUCUCUGUGUUCCCAAAUGUACAAUUGACAGUCCUUCCUCCUGAUGUUCUCUCCAGUAGGAAAUGUUUGCUCUAUGUAAAUUCAGUAUAGCUUUUAGUCUCUAUUCAAGUUCUACCUUCUUCAUAAACUUCUCCUGAAUAGAAUCAGCCUAUAACCAUUUAAACUGUCUUUAUUAGGUGCACACUAUGUGCCAGGUACUCAACAAGGCAGUGGAACUAUGAAGACAGAUAAUCACAGUCCCUCUUGCCUCUGGGAGCAGGCAGUUGAAUGCAAUGCUUUUUAAAGUUUUAAGUAACGUGGUCAUGCAAAAUCUUAUAGAUAUACAUUUGAAUGUACAGAGUUUAAUUACCAAGCUAGUGAG